CCUAUCAGAUUCAGAUCCAAAGUCUGGUGUCUGUGGUUUGCAAAUGGAAGGAGAUGCUUCUACACAACAUGACAACACCAUUGGGCUUGGAGCUGAUGUUCUCACUUUGCUUCAAAAUGUAGAAUUCCUAUCAUGUCACCAUGUUUAUUUCAAUAAGUUCUUCACAUCUCAUCACCUAAUGUGUAUCCUGACUGUAAAAGGUUUCUUCGCUAUAGGUGCUGCUCGUGCAAGUUGAGUUGGUGGUGCUCAGUUACCUGAGAAGAUGAAGAAAGGCGAUUACACUGCAUUGUACGACAAUGUAAAGGAAUUCGUUUUGGUCAGAUGAACACAAAUUUUAUGGAGUUGACAAAUCAUUCAACUGUCGAACCACUAGUCACAGCCAGAUGUUAUGAUCGUGGGCAAAAAAGCAUGUCAGCAUCAAUGUUCCAUUGCUGAUCAUGGAUUAUAAUCCCAACAUGGGAGGCGUUGACCUUCACAAUAGUGCUUUAGGCAAUUACUAAAUUGGUAUUCACUCAUAGAAGUGGUGGUAGCCACUUUUCACCAAUACGUUUUCAAACAUGAUGGUAAAUGUUUGGAAAUUAUAUGUUUUUGUAGCAAAAAGAGAAAAAAGAUCCUUAAUCCCAGCUGGAAUUCAGCGAUAAAAUCACUUAUGCACUUUUAUUGACAGAUCAAUCGGUUGAUAGGGAGGUUGAAAAAGUACGAAAGCAAGCCACCACUUCCAGAACACAAGCAACACUGUCCAGAGCUGUGGAUGCUGGCGAUACAGGAACUUCAACAUCGCAUCACAGUCCACAAAGACAUCCUUCACAGGGGUCUGGCAGCCACACGAGCAGGCCUAAUAAGAGACGUCAUCCUGAUGUCGCACCAACACCAGCAUUAAGCACACCCCCACAUCGUAUUUCAACUGUGUUGCCUCAGCCACCAGAACACAUUUUGGAGAGUACUCAAUCACCGGGACCACAUUCCCCUCAGCUGUCUGCUUUACUUUAAUGAAGAAGGAAAAAGGCAAUAAUGAAGAACAGCACAGACCACAUCAACUCUGGUAGAGGGGGAAGAAGAAGUAGGAAAAUGGAGACGGUAUCCUCUCUUAAAUGCAUUAAUAAUGGCUUCAGGAUGGGUUGCAAACAAAUCAUUCACAAACUGUGUUCACAUAUCAUCACUCUGAUCUUCUACAAUAAAUUCAU